rnacentral:rRNA from 1 species
AUGGACAACUGCUUGAGAGCUUCAUUCCCUCGAGGACUAAGGCAAGGAGACCCUUUAUCACCGUUCUUAUUUCUUUUUGUUGCUGACGCCCUGUCUGCUUUAUUCUCAAAAUUAGUGGGGGAAGGAUCUCUAAAGGGAGUGUCUAUUUGUCGAGGUGCGCCAGUUAUUUCCCACCUGCUUUUUGCGGAUGAUACUAUGUUGCUGUUUGAGGCGUCUGGCCAGCAGGCGAGCAUUGUUAAGGGGCUGUUGAACACUUAUACUUCAGCAACGGGUCAACUCAUUAACCCAGAGAAGUGUUCCAUCCUUUUUUCAGACAAUUGCUCCGUUGCGGUGGUAGAUGAAGUCAAGAGCACACUUGAGGUUACGCAACAGGUGUUCGAGCCAAAGUAUCUCGGCCUUCCUGUGCCGGAAGGAAGAGUGCAUAAGGGACAAUUUGAAUCACUACAGGAAAGAUUGAGGAAGAGAUUAAUUGAUUGGAGUGAGCAAUAUGUCUCAUCGGGGAAUAAAAAAAUUUGA